rnacentral:rRNA from 1 species
UGGGGAAUAUUGCACAAUGGGCGCAAGCCUGAUGCAGCCAUGCCGCGUGUGUGAAGAAGGCCUUCGGGUUGUAAAGCACUUUCAGCGGGGAGGAAGGCGGUGAGGUUAAUAACCUCAUCGAUUGACGUUACCCGCAGAAGAAGCACCGGCUAACUCCGUGCCAGCAGCCGCGGUAAUACGGAGGGUGCAAGCGUUAAUCGGAAUUACUGGGCGUAAAGCGCACGCAGGCGGUUGAUUGAGUCAGAUGUGAAAUCCCCGGGCUUAACCCGGGAAUUGCAUCUGAUACUGGUCAGCUAGAGUCUUGUAGAGGGGGGUAGAAUUCCAUGUGUAGCGGUGAAAUGCGUAGAGAUGUGGGGGAAUACCGGUGGCGAAGGCGGCCCCCUGGACAAAGACUGACGCUCAGGUGCGAAAGCGUGGGGAGCAAACAGG